UACGGGGGGAGCAAGCGUUGUUCGGAUUUACUGGGCGUAAAGGGCGCGUAGGCGGCCUAGCAAGUCACUUGUGAAAUCUCCGGGCUUAACUCGGAACUGCCAAGUGAAACUGCUGGGCUAGAGUGCAGAAGGGGCAAUCGGAAUUCUUGGUGUAGCGGUGAAAUGCGUAGAUAUCAAGAGGAACACCUGAGGUGAAGACGGGUUGCUGGGCUGACACUGACGCUGAUGCGCGAAAGCCAGGGGAGCAAACGGG
rnacentral:rRNA from 1 species